rnacentral:rRNA from 1 species
GACACGCUGGCGGCGUGGAUUAGGCAUGCAAGUCGAACGGUAUCAUCCUUUCGGGGGUGAGAGAGUGGCGAACUGGUGAGUAACACGUAGGUUAUCUACCCUCAAGACGGGGACAACCCAGGGAAACUUGGGCUAAUACCGGAUGUGAGCAACUUUUAGUUGUUUGAAAGGUGGCGUAAGCUGUCGCUUGGGGAUGAGCCUGCGUCCUAUUAGUUAGUUGGUGAGGUAACGGCUCACCUAGGCAAUGAUAGGUAGGCGGCCUUAACGGGUGGUCGCCCACACUGGGAUUGAGAUACGGCCCAGACCCCUACGGGAGGCAGCAGUCGAGAAUAGUCUACAAUGGUCGGAAGACUGAUAGUGCGACGCCGCGUGAACGAUGAAUCCCUUCGGGGUGUAAAGUUCUUUUAUAUGUGAGCAGUGCUUCUUAUAUUAACAGUAUGGGGAGAGAGAUAUUAGCAUAUGAAUAAGCAACGGCUAACUCCGUG